rnacentral:hammerhead_ribozyme from 1 species
AUCAAGCUGACGAGUCCCAAAUAGGACGAAACGUGCGUCCUGGAU